rnacentral:rRNA from 1 species
GGACCGGAGGGCGUCGAGGCUAUUCCUGGGGUAGGGGUGAAAUCCUAAAAUCCCAGGAGGAGCACCAGUGGCGAAAGCGCUCGGCGACGACGGGUCCGACGGUGAGGGACAAAAGCUAGGGGAGCAAAAGGGAUUAGAUACCCCCGUAGUCCUAGCCGUAAACGAUGCCCGCUUGAUGUCAGGAAUCCUCCGAGGAUUCCUGGUGCCAAAGGAAAACCGUUAAGCGGGCCGCCUGGGUAGUACGAUCGCAAGGUUGAAACUUAAAGGAAUUGACGGGGGAGCACCACAAGCGGUGGAGGCUGCGGUUUAAUUAGAUCCAACGCAGCGAACCCUACCAGAGCCGACAGCACAAUGAUGGUCAGCUUGAAGAGCUUACCUGAGGAGCUGAGAGGUGUUGCAUGGCCGACGUCAGCUCGUGCCGUGAGGUGUCCUCUUAAGUGAGGUAACGAGCGAGACCCGUGUCCUAUGUUGCUACGGUUCUCUCCGGAGAUCCGGCACUCAUAGGAGACCGCUGAUGAUAAAUCAGGGGAAGGAACGGGCGACGUUAGGUCAGUAUGGCCCGAACGCUCUGGGAUACACGCGGCCUACAAUGGCCGGGACAAAGGGAUGCAACUCCGAGAGGAGGCGCUAAACCCCUAAACCCGGUCCUGGUUCGGAUCGAGGACUGCAACUCGUCCUCGUGAAGGCGAAAUCGCUAGUAGUCGCUAGUCAUCAUCUAGCGGCGAAUA